rnacentral:rRNA from 1 species
GACGAACGCUGGCGGCGUGCUUAACACAUGCAAGUCGAACGCUGAAGCUCAGCUUUUGUUGGGUGGAUGAGUGGCGAACGGGUGAGUAACACGUGAGUAACCUGCCUCCUUCUUUGGGAUAACGCCCGGAAACGGGUGCUAAUACUGGAUAUUCACUGGUCUUCGCAUGGGGGUUGGUGGAAAGGGUUUUUCUGGUGGGGGAUGGGCUCGCGGCCUAUCAGCUUGUUGGUGGGGUGAUGGCCUACCAAGGCUUUGACGGGUAGCCGGCCUGAGAGGGUGACCGGUCACAUUGGGACUGAGAUACGGCCCAGACUCCUACGGGGAGCAGCAGUGGGGAAAAUUGCACAAUGGGCGCAAGCCUGAUGCAGCGACGCCGCGUGAGGGAUGGAGGCCUUCGUGUUGUGAACCUCUUUCGCUCAUGGUCAAGCCGCAACAAUGGUUGUGGUGAGGGUAGUGGGUAAAGAAGCGCCGGCUAACUACGUG